GAGGAAAGUCCGGGCUUCAUAGGGCAGGGUGCCAGGUAACGCCUGGGCGGUGAAAGCCGACGGAAAGUGCAGCAGAGAGUAGACCGCCUCAUUCGUGAGGUAAGGGUGAAAGGGUGCGGUAAGAGCGCACCGCGUGUCUGGUAACAGUUCACGGCAUGGCAAACCCCACCAGAAGCAAGACCAAAUAGGAAUCCUAG
rnacentral:misc_RNA from 1 species